GCCCGGGUGGCGGAAUUGGCAGACGCGCGUGACUCAAAAUCACGUGAGAGAAAUCUCGUGUGGGUUCGACUCCCACCCCGGGCACAA
rnacentral:tRNA from 1 species